UUAUGUGAUAUGCAUAUUAACUAAUAUAAAUAACAGUGUUAGUUUUAUUUUUAGAUUUAUUCAUUUUAACGGAUUUUAUAUGCUAGAUGGGCUUGAAGCAUUUCCUGAAAUCUGGAAAGAUCUAGAUCUAGAGGCCUUUAAGGAAUGAGAAUAUCGGUAUUUUAAAGGACGGCAACACACCCGUAAGCCUCUUGGCGUUGGAGGUAUCCAUGAGAAGUGUAUCUUUCUAGUUUACAGGAGAAAGUAUAAUCGAAUAAUAUCUGGCCGAUAUACGAAGACUGCAACGAGAAAAAGAAAAACUCAAAAAAUCCUGUUUUAUCUCAAUACACAGGAAGCGCAGAAAAUAGAUCCGGAAUACCCGGAUAUACCCGGGCUACACCGGCAUGAUACUCUUUAUCCGGGAUUAAAUUUUGCAAAGAAGCAACUUUGCGACGUCUGGAUAUACUCAUCUGUUCGGAUAAAUACGGGAACUACGACCCCCGACAUACAGCACUUGCUCUUAUAUUCACUACACCACUAAUUUCACUAACUGAAAAGGUUCU